AUGAAAAAUUACCUUUGAAUCUGGAUGAAAAAUUAAAAACAAUAUUAAGUAUGUUUCCUUCGAAUUUGUCAGAUAUUCAUUGCUCAGCCAAUGCUUGGAUACCAUGUCAGAUUUGACUUCCUAGACAGAAGGUCCAUUGGAGGCUGCUUCUCCAGGUCAUAAAUUGUGUGAGUGUUCACUCUCAGAUUAGGAAAACUGUGUUGCUUAGCGGGACAUGUGACUAGGUCAGAAGUCUCUCAAUUUCGAUGUUCAAUGUCACAACCGGCCUUAGUUUCACUGUUAUUCAUCAACCACCUAAACAAUAAAAUUAAUAUGUAGAUCUGAAUGUGUCUCAUUCCUUACAUCUCUUUCUCAGUUGGUUCAGGACUUAGGCAGAGAAAACAAAAAUGGCAUAUUCGAUGCUCAGUCAAAUACCAAUAUAACAUAAACAAAGAAUAAUAAUGUGAUGGUUACUUAGAGAAAGGUUAAAUGAAGCUUUUUGUGGAGUUUCCAUAUAGACAUGACUUUCAAAAUGAAACUUAUAAAAAUAGUAAUAUGUGCUAGAUAGAAGAAAGUCAUAGGUAGAAAGCCU
rnacentral:lncRNA from 1 species